GAGGGAGUACAGGCGGCAGUACGUGUCUGCUCGAACACUGGCAGUUCGACGGCCCUUGGUUAAAAGGCAGAUCUCUGGGGAGAGAAACAUUCAGCACCCAUUGAAAACAAAGAAGUUACUGAACCAUGUGAAACUUUAAAGUGCCCCCAACAGGAAUUCAUUGUUCUGGAACACUAGAAACUGAAGCUAUGUGCAGAGUCCCAAGAGACAGCUCCAGCUUUUGACUUCUAAUUCUUCCACCCAAUGUAUCAGGAUGACUGCAUGGAGGCCAAAGUCAGUGUCUGAGGCUUGGAUCAGCAAAACAUGUGGGAAAAAUGUCAAGAAACCAUAAGAGACAAUGUUAGGCUUCAUCACAGGACAAUGGGACCGUAGAAGUCAUGGAUACUACUGCAACAAAUAUUUAUUUUUUUUUCUUCAUCUUCUUUCAUCUUCUAUUAUGUUUUGUCAAGGUGAAGGGAAAAAAAUGAAAACUAUGAUGUGCAGACUGUCGAAUCACGACUUCUGGUUGAAGACUAUAAGUCUGGAAGGCUUUUAAUACCUGUAAUCCUACUAGUUAGAUAAUAUAAUAAACAACGGGUCAGAAAAGAUAUGACAAAUGUUCAGUGCCCAUAAAAUGGUCAGGGAGUGCUGCUGUGGAGCCUGCCUCCUCAGUAAGCAAAGACAGCUUUUUGUUCUCAACUCCAGUUGAAUGGUCUGAACUAUUGUUUUCUUACAGAAAAAAUACUGUGAAUGAAUACCCACAUACUGCAUUUCCAGUGGUAUUUCUUGACUGAAUAGAACUGUAUUAUAGUCACUGAUACAUUAUCUGUAUUGCCUUGUAAUAUGUAUCAAUAGCAUCAUUUGUAGUUUGUUCAUAAGACUAAAGUGUUUGCUAAUUGUAUGUGUUAAUCUAUCAGCUGUUUGUUUGGACAGACCUUCAAGCAUAAUCAGAAAUAAUAUAUGAAAUAUUCUUUAUCGGGACCAGAGAGGAGGAACACAGAAUACUGAAAUGAGUUCCCAUUAAACACUUGUGUUUAUUUAAAUAAAGCAGUGUUUGUUUUUAAUGAAAAUAAUAAAGUAAUGAAAAGAGCCAUGACAUAUUUAAAAUGAGCCUUAGUGGCAUCAAGUACACCAGGUGCCCUUAACAAUUACGCUCUCCUUGAAGUUCAAUUGAUUUAAAUAGACUAGGAAAUACAAUAAUAGCAUAGGAGUGUGUAGUGGAACACAAAAGGCAUAGACUAUUUUUAAACAACUUGGCUAAACAAGGUGGUCUAUUAGCAUAAAAAUAAAGUGUCAGCAGCAUAUUACUCACUAAUAUUACUAUGUGCAUUUGGCAUGGUGCAUUGCCUUCGUGCUGACACUGUCAGUGUGUCAAAAAUUACUAUCUUUCCUUUCCAAACAAAAGAAUGUCUUAAAUUCCAAUUAAAAACUAUGUAUUAGGCUACAGUGAACCUGUAAUUCAAUUCUGAAUGUAAAUUUUACUUUAAUCUCUAUGGACAACUGUUACCUAGAACAUUGUGAAACAAAUGUCAGUCACUGCCCUAAUGAAAAGUGACUGUUUGAAAACAAAGAAUGAUGCUAAAAACAUUUAUUUGUUCUUACAGUCCAUGCCUAAUGCAAAUUUAAUUAAUUCCUUUGUGAAAAUCAUAAUUUGUGGUCUGCUAUGAUCAAGUCUUUCCCAUGUAAAAAGACAGCCCUCAAAAUAAUAAUAAGAAAUGGGCUAAAAUAUAGUGUACUUUCUGCUAUGAAGACUCUAACUGAAAAGUGCAAUGAUAAAAGUUUAAAGCUAACCUUGUUCUGAAAGUUGUAAUAAUCAAAAUUGAUCACCAGCAUUCCAGUUGCACACCUAUGUGGGACGUGGCUGAGUGAUAGAGUAGUUAGUGCUGCAUUAACAAUUGUACUCAAUGAUCCAAAGGUCUUUUCAAUCUAAGUGGUUCUAUGAUUCUAUGGCAGGAUUUCAGCAAAAGCUGGAUCAGGUUCAAUUUUUGGAACACUGUGAAUUUGUAAAGUAGCUUGCCUGUAUCAGUUUCUCAUAAAACAGGGAAUGCAUAGGUUGUGUUUUACUAUUGCAUUAAUGUGACAGAGCACUCUGCAUAUCUGAAAGACAGCAAUAAGCAAAGCUGAUUUCAGGAGAAUCUGAAUGAGGUGAGUGACAUAGCCCACAGGAUGAAUUUUAAAGAACAGGAAUAAUAGGUCAUUUGUAAGGAUCAAGUUUUGAUCCCAACUGAAACCAGGUUCAUUGUUCUUAUGGACUGUACUGAUAUGCCACUGUAGGUGAUAAUUUUUAGCCCUCCCCUGUUGCUACAUGAUGCCUAAACACCUUUUUCUUUGAGAAAAUAAGGAUGUGGGCAUGUAUAUGUAAAUGUAUUAUGUAUUAAUCUCCUUCACAUCCAUGUAUAUGGAUAUGGGGGAGAUUAAUCACUAGUACCAUGAAUGACGUUGAUCUCUUCAUUAGUCUUUGCUGGAUGGGUAUGUAUCUACUGGCCAUCCUAGCAACAACUUCUGGUUUCCAUUUUAUACAGAAAAUUUUUAGAUAGGAAAAUUCCUUUUUCACUCUGAGAAGCAGUAUAGUUUCUGUGAGAGUGUAUAAUUGUCCAUUCAUCAUCUAUUGAUUUUGCAUAUCAGUUACAUUCCAGAUGUAAUUACUCUACUUCAUAUGUCACAUUAACAUUUGACUAGAGAAAAUCUACAGAAAAAAUGUGCGCACCAACAGUAAACUGUGUUGAUAAAGAUAAGUUAUGAGUCCAGUAGUUAGCAAGUUCACUGAAGGACACCAAACCAGUCAUGUCUCCAUGGACCAUAUUUCUUAGCUUAGGAUGUUACAUUGUAUAAACAAAAUUCCUACAAUGAAUUAUUGUAUGUAUAUCUUUGUCUUGCAAGGACACAAGUUCAGUUUACUAGGUGCAGAAAUUAAAUUUGUGUAGUAAUGAAUGAAUGAAUUCAACAGUAUUUCAGCUAUAGUGUCUAUAUUAAAAGCAACUAAAAUCACUUAGCAGUUUUUAUACCUUUCUGUCCCCUUCCAAAGCUGUAUGAUUUCCCAUAAUUUGUUAGAUUAAACAUUACAGGAUCUAGUGAGAGGUCAUUCCAACUGAGGACAGCUGACUACUGUUUCAGUUUCUCAACAGCAAACUUGUUCUUGUCGAGGGUAUAUAGGUUACUGUGUGUGCUGUCAGCUGUUCAGGCUGAUUACUCCCAGCAGCAGAAGAAAGAUGGAAAGUCACAGUAAUUCAAAAGCUUGGGUCAGUCAGUCAAACUGACUUGGGAAUGUUUUUUAAGAACAGGACAGUGGAUUAGAAUUGAGUUUAUUUUAUAAAGAGCAAUGAGUUACUAAACUACCAUAGACAAAACUUCUCUGUCCAAGUACUCUUUCCAUCCUCCCAUCUCAUAAGACUUCAGAGUAAGCUUCCCAGAACCAUGGCUAUCCUUAUUUUCCAACAGCUCUUCAUAACAGCAGCUCCUUGGCAUGCUACAAAGAUUGAUAGUUCUUUACUUCUUUCAUGCAGCUGAAGUUGUCUACUAAGCAGAAACUAGCUAAUAUGGGCACUUUCUUGCUGUGCCAGUCACAGCAAGGGGCUUUCCCUUUAGGAAAGGACUAUAUGAACUUCAAGAAAGGUAAAAAAAAAAAAAAAAAAAAAAAUCAGUAAGCUUCUAGGCAUCCCAAUCUUUCAGAAAUUGAGUGAUUUUCCAGUUUCAUUCGACUUGAGCAUCUUCCAUAUAGAAAACAAGAAGAAGCUGUUUCAUAUGAUAAUGUUACUUUAACAUAAGCAUCUGCACUUCUGUUUUCUUAUUCUUUAUUAAACUCUGGAAAAUGUGAAAUACGUUUAUCUAUAAUUUUCCCCAUUUUUAAUGUGUUCUUUUUAUCUUUCAGUAUAUUAUUGCUAGUGUACACAAUGGUAAACGCAGACAUAUGAUGCUUUUUUUUUUUAAUAGUUACUAAAAUAACUACCACCAGGUCUUACAAUUACUCAGAAUGCAGUUUGAUGCAAUUAAAUGAAUUUCAGUAAUCUGUGUUCUAAAAAAUUCAAUCCUGCAUUUAAGAAAUCCUAAAAUACUGCUCAAGAGGAACAUUUCUGCAGCAAGGGAGAAAGCUAAAGGAGAACAGAAAAUUGAGAUAAUUCCUGCCUUUUACAGACAGAUUUGUAAUCUGGACUGUCCAAAAGGAAACUAUGCAAAAACUGCCACUUUUGCCACCAUGUUUACACUAAAUACGGAAUUGCAGACAAGUCAGUUUCAGUUAGGAGAUACAGCCUGCAUGACCUCUUCAUUUAAAAUAUGACAGUAAUAAUUGCCUGUUGAGUUGUUUCAGAUAUCUGCGUUCAUCCGUUGGAGAGAGGGUUCAUAAAAGAGCCUGGAUACAUAACUGAGAAGUUACUGAUUUGAAGAGGGGCUGGAAAUGGCUGAUUGGAAUGAAAAUCAACUUCUGUAAUAUCCCAUCUCCAGUCUUAUCACUUUUUAAACUAUUUACCUGAACUUAUUUUAAAUAUAUAUUUGUAAUUUGUGAUAGCUGUUACCCUUAUGAAUCAUCCUAUUAAAAAAUCCAACCAAAAAAAUAACAAAAAAACCCCAAAAUUCCCCAGACAAAAACCACAUAUGUUAGUUUAGCUGACCUUUUUAUUGCCUGUUUGUAGUAAUUUGAAAUUUCUGUCUCUGAAGACUGACACCUGAGCUCUCCGCAUGUUCAUAGUUUAAUUAAUAGUAUUUUAUUUAAUUUAACGUAACAAUAGCAAAAAGAGAUAGCAAAAAUUUACUUAGGAAAAAAAUAUUCAUUUUAAAGGAGUGCCUACAUUUAAUUGACCAAAACUUUGAUAGAAUUUAUAGACAAAUACUUAUUUAAAAGAAAACCAUUUAAUAUUUUUUUAGGGUUUGCUAACAACCCUGAGAGUAUAUUCCUUUCCCUACCUAGAUACAAAUGUGUCUUUUGUGCCACUUAGCUAGGAGAAACCAGUUUCUUAUCUUAAUAAAAAGUGGCAAGUUAUCUGAGCAGGAACUUUUUAUUUUUCAUCCUGACCUCUCUUUGCUUUCUUCCAUGUGCAGGUUCUGAAAAUAGCUGUGGCCAAGUUUUCAUUACUAGUGCAGACAAAAGCCAGUAACAGAAAGACAGAAUCACUGAGGUUGGAAAAGACCUCCAAGACCAUCAAGUCUGACCUUUAACUGAACAGCACCCUGUCAGCCAGACCCUGGCACUGAGUGCCACAUCUAGACUUAUGAACAUUUCUAACAUCCUGACUAUUUUCCCAUGUUCUAUCAAAUUCUUCUAAGAAAGGUCUGUAUGACAGAACAGAGGGUUAGGGUACUUUUAUAAAAUAGAAAUAAAAGUGCAUAUUUUGUCUUCAAUGCUAUUUAUAACAGAGCAUCCAUAUGUUUUUCUUCUAAUUUAUUUAAGCAUUCUUUCUACAAAGAGUGAUUUAGAUAGUCUAUUUAUUACCUUGUAAAAGCUCACAACAUUACAGAUAAUAAUUUCAUAUGCUUUUAAAAAUUAAUAAUUAAGCUAAGGUUCUAAGAUGAUAUGCCUAAGCACAGAUUUAGCUUCCAUACUCACUGUGUCAAAGGCCAAAAGUGAUUUUAUGUAAUUCAUUUACUCCUACUUUUAUUCUGACAGAUGCUUACUGCCUAUUGAAAAAAAAAACCUUAGUUCCUUAUGUAUUCAGUGGUAUGCUCUUGUAAUCUUGAGUUUGGCAAAC